GAGCGAACGCUGGCGGCAGGCCUAACACAUGCAAGUCGAACGGAUCCUUCGGGAUUCGUGGCGGACGGGUGAGUAACACGUGGGAACGUGCCCUUUGGUUCGGAACAACUCAGGGAAACUUGAGCUAAUACCGGAUGUGCCCUUCGGGGGAAAGAUUUAUCGCCAUUGGAGCGGCCCGCGUCUGAUUAGCUAGUUGGUGAGGUAACGGCCCACCAAGGCGACGAUCAGUAGCUGGUCUGAGAGGAUGAUCAGCCACACUGGGACUGAGACACGGCCCAGACUCCUACGGGAGGCAGCAGUGGGGAAUCUUGCGCAAUGGGCGAAAGCCUGACGCAGCCAUGCCGCGUGAAUGAUGAAGGUCUUAGGAUUGUAAAAUUCUUUCAGCGGGGACGAUAAUGACGGUACCCGCAGAAGAAGCUCCGGCUAACUUCGUG
rnacentral:rRNA from 1 species